GCACCAAAGUUAUAAGUUUUUCUAAUUUCGGGGGGGGGGGGGGGCAAGAUAGCUCAGUCGGUAGUGGUGGCCGCUAACAAUCUGGAAGUCACGGUUCAAGUCCGGUCUCACACCCAAGGUUCACCUAGCCUUUAUUCGAAAGUGGAGCAAUCCACGACUGGAUUAUCCGCCACAGUCCUCGGCUAAGACGUGGCUUAAAUUAUUGCCCAGUGGAAGCACUACCAGGCAGUGUACCUGACUCCCAGAUCC
ensembl:ncRNA C26G2.9 ncRNA